rnacentral:rRNA from 1 species
UACGAAGGGGGCUAGCGUUGCUCGGAAUCACUGGGCGUAAAGCGCACGUAGGCGGACUCUUAAGUCGGUGGUGAAAUCCUGGAGCUCAACUCCAGAACUGCCUUCGAUACUGAGAGUCUCGAGUUCGGGAGAGGUGAGUGGAACUGCGAGUGUAGAGGUGAAAUUCGUAGAUAUUCGCAAGAACACCAGUGGCGAAGGCGGCUCACUGGCCCGGUACUGACGCUGAGGUGUGAAAGCGUGGGGAGCAAACAGG